AGUGAACGCUGGCGGUAGGCCUAACACAUGCAAGUCGAACGGCAGCACAGUAAGAGCUUGCUCUUACGGGUGGCGAGUGGCGGACGGGUGAGGAAUACAUCGGAAUCUACUUUUUCGUGGGGGAUAACGUGGGGAAACUUACGCUAAUACCGCAUACGACCUACGGGUGAAAGCAGGGGUUCUUCGGACCUUGCGCGAUUGAAUGAGCCGAUGUCGGAUUAGCUAGUUGGCGGGGUAAAGGCCCACCAAGGCGACGAUCCGUAGCUGGUCUGAGAGGAUGAUCAGCCACACUGGAACUGAGACACGGUCCAGACUCCUACGGGAGGCAGCAGUGGGGAAUAUUGGACAAUGGGCGCAAGCCUGAUCCAGCCAUACCGCGUGGGUGAAGAAGGCCUUCGGGUUGUAAAGCCCUUUUGUUGGGAAAGAAAAGCAGCAGGUUAAUACCCCGCUGUUCUGACGGUACCCAAAGAAUAAGCACCGGCUAACUUCGUG
rnacentral:rRNA from 1 species